ensembl:lncRNA
GUGAAAAGUAUUUCUGAAAGCAUUUGAGGCGAGAAAUAAUCUGCAGCAGUUGAAUCUGUCCUCGUUUUAGGUCACCGACGCCUAGUUUAGAAGUUUGAGGACAGUUUCACGAUGCGUGGAAUCUCCGCACGCUACAUUGAAUUUGCAUAAAGUAGAAGUCCAGUGUACUUUAUGCAAAUGAGCUGCAGCCUUCUCCAGGUAAACACACCGGAUCCCAGCGGGAAACACCCCGCGGCUCUGCAGACACCCUUCUCUCCUCACCAGCAAGUGAACAUCCUGGACGUCAUGUGUGGAAUUAACAAGCUUUAACAGACUCACUCAACCAAAUGUCAACAGAAUAAUUGUGGCUCUACUUGCAGACGUGUUGUGGAUAGGAAUGUUGUACGCCUUCUGAGAAACCGGACCGAAGGGAACACAAGCUGAGGACUACCUUCACUGUAAGGACCUGUACACCACACUCCUCAUGACCUUAGUGAAACCCGGAGGGAUCGUCUCUUCUUUAGGACACACAUUCCAGGCUCCACCUCCUCUGAAAAAGCUUCCCUCUGUGCAGUUACUGCAACACAGUCUUCUUUCUGUCAGAGACUGACAACGUGCAGGAUUACUGCAGCCUAAUACUGUCCACUUCUGGCACUGUGCUGAAAAUGGGUUCAAUCAAGAAAGUAUGGAAAUCAAAACAUAUAGCCAUAUAGUAAAAUCCAAAGUUUAAUUUUGCAUUCUGUUCUUUUUCUGUUUUGAAUUUAACAAAUGUUCACGUUGCUGUUAAAUGUUUUUAAACUGUUAUCCAAAAGAAGUUAUUACAUUGUCCAAACUUUGUCCAAAUCUUUCUAAGGUGGUGUCUGGGGAGGGGCAAGGCUCAGUUGAGUGGUUCACCAGCAUCGGAAACGAGCAAACUGUUUCGUUUGUGCUGACCCGUGAGGAGUUCACAGACAAACUGGGGCCGAUGUGCAGGGGAGUUAUGAAAAGAUUUCAGUUGGCCAAUCAACCUGUCCCCAAAAUCCUGUACGUGGACCGUGGGUGUUGCCGAGCACAGGACCCAACAGCAGUGGAGACUUUGUUUCAGCCUGGGGUGGACUGUGGGUUGGUUGUGUGUCUGGGCAUCUUCCACUGGAUCCACUGGUUUGAGUCCCACUCCAAGUACGCUGCUUUUAAAUCUGCGCUCGCCUGAGCAGUGCUGGCCUACAAUCACAGUCAGUCAGAGCUAAAAAUCCAGCAGUGCUGCAGUCUGCCUCUGAUAAUGACGUUGUCAGGAGCAGCUGAAGCAUCAUGUGCAGAGGGUGACACUCGGGGCUCAGGAAACAUUUCAGCUCAUCCACCUGAUGAGUAGCUUAAAGAUCCUGCUGGAUUGGAUGAGAGUGGAGUGAGCCUCUUCAGAACACCUGGUAACAGACAAAAGUUAAUACAACAUUGAUACACACAGUGCAGCGUACAAAGUGAACAUAACACACUGUAUGUAUGUGUGUUUACAGAGGCCAUUGAUGGGAUGUGGGCAGCACAACAGAGACAUCUGCAGUGCAUCCAGGAUCCACCAGACAUUAACAUGUACAAGGUGGCACAAACCAACCAUCAACAACAUGGAUGUGUCCUCCUCCAAGUGCCUGCAUGUGUAACAGAGAGAGCUGGGCCAGACCAGCCACACAUGGAAACAUCAGCCUGGAAGGAUUCCACAAGACUUUGUCAAGCAGGAUUCCAGGGGCAGAGGAUGGUGUUACUGGAACUACUCUGCACCGCUGAUCAACCACCUCAACACCUCCUGUCAGCAGCUGUCUGGGGAGACUGGAGGAGAAUUUCAGGAUCCCUGCUGUUGUCUCCUCCAACGAGCUGCUUGAGUAUGGGGGAAUCCAGACCCUUCUCUCUUCAGGACAUCAUCAACGAUGGACCUGGUCCCGAGCAGGAGGAGGUUCAGUCUGGGCAGCCUGAUCCAGACGAGGCUGAUGACGGGGAGGAACAUGAGCUGGAUGCUGACCUGCCCCACAUCACGCUUAACUAGUGAGGAAACUAUCACCAGGCCUGCAUCAUCCCUCGCUGUAUCCACAGCAGCCCAAAAGAUUGCUGGCGUCUCUGGGAUUACUGGCCCCUCCAGACAGCCCAUCCUGCUUGCUUCAUCAGACCCUGCAACUGCAGCUCACACUGCUGGCACACCUGUGACUACUUCUUCGUGCUGGACAAGAGCAACGCUGUACAAGCAGAAGCUGAAGGGCUACCAGGGUGCAAAAUCUGCCAGCAUGUACAGUCUGUGGCCAGCCAACACAGGGACAUAGAAAGUAGAAAAAAGGCUUUCUGCCCAGUAACAAUGAUGUCCCCGUUUAAAGGUCUGAGCAACAGAGUGUUUACCAGCUACGAGCACUUCACCUCUGCUGUUGACAGUUUGAAUUGUAAAUAUGCUGUAAAUACGCAAGGUUGCUUUGUACAUUUUGUAUGUUUGGGGCACUGAAUUGUAAAUAUCUGUAAAUAUGUUAGAGUUGCUUUUUAUAUGCUGUGAUUGAUUUAGAAAUACAUUAGGUUUGCUUUGUAUAUACUGUAAAUAAUUUUCAUUAGUCUGAGUUUUUAUUUAGUUUUUUACACUUAAAUUGUCUAAAAUCCUGUGUACUGUAUUAUUUUUAUUCAAUAAAGUG